AUGAGUGUGAUCUGCGUCCUCAUCUGGACUCUCCUCUGCUGCUGCUUCACAGAGUCCAGAGGACAGGUCACAGUGACUCAGCCUGGAGCAGUGAGCUCCAAUGUGGGAGGAUCUGUCUCCAUCUCAUGUAGAACCAGUCAGGAUGUUUAUAGCAACAACUUUUUAGCCUGGUAUCAACAGAAAGAUGGAGAAACUCCUAAACUACUAAUUUAUCUAGCUACCACUCGAGAUUCAGGGACUCCAACUCGUUUUACAGGCAGUGGAUCAAACUCUGAUUUCACUCUGACCAUCAGUGGAGUUCAGGCUGAAGAUGCAGCAGUUUAUUACUGUCUGGGUCUCAUAACCAUCAACAAUGAGGCUGUGUUCACACAGUGAAAAACAGUCAUACAAAAACCUCCCUCAUUCAGGCUGAACAGAAACUGAGAUGAUAUAGUUCACUAAACACACACAUGAGCAUAUUUAUAUUUUAUAAUAGUUUUUAGAUAUACAUAUUAACAUUUUAAGAGAAAAAUGUUUAUUUAUUUUUUUUAUUUAAAUUUUUGACAGAACAGAAAAAAGUUACUGGACUUAAACAGACUUAAAAACAUAGGUCUAUAUUUCUCUUUAUAUUUAGUAAUCAUCACUAAAUCCUCGGUUUACUGCAGAAAAUGAUGACAGAAUAUUUUCAAACUAUAGAGAAACGUCAUCAGGCUUAUAGGGUUUUACUCUGAUGUUUAAUUGAUGUUCUCAUGAAUUUUUCUACUGUCAGAGUGCUCACCACAUCAACAGUCAAUGGGUGUUCACACAGUGAAAAACAGUCGUACAAAAACCUCCCUCAUUCAGGCUGAACAGAAACUGAACUGACUGCUGCAGCUGGAAGAUGCUGCAGACACUGAUACAGUUCACUGAACAUCCAUUCUAACAAACACUCACAAUAGACACCUAAA